rnacentral:rRNA from 1 species
AACGAACGCUGGCGGCAUGCCUAACACAUGCAAGUCGAACGAGACCUUCGGGUCUAGUGGCGCACGGGUGCGUAACGCGUGGGAACCUGCCCUUAGGUUCGGAAUAACUCCCCGAAAGGGGUUCUAAUACCGGAUAAUGUCUUCGGACCAAAGAUUCAUCGCCUUUGGAUGGGCCCGCGUUGGAUUAGCUAGUUGGUAGGGUAAAAGCCUACCAAGGCGACGAUCCAUAGCUGGUCUGAGAGGAUGAUCAGCCACACUGGGACUGAGACACGGCCCAGACUCCUACGGGAGGCAGCAGUGGGGAAUAUUGGACAAUGGGCGAAAGCCUGAUCCAGCAAUGCCGCGUGAGUGAUGAAGGCCUUAGGGUUGUAAAGCUCUUUUACCCGGGAUGAUAAUGACAGUACCGGGAGAAUAAGCGCCGGCUAACUCCGUG